ACAUGCCUACAGUCCCAUGCCUGUAGUCCCAGCUACUUGGGAAGUUGAGACAGGAGGAUCACUUGAGUCCAGGUGUUCUGGGCUAUAGUGAGCUAUGCUGAUCGGUUGUCUGCACUAAGUUCAUCAUUAAUAUGCUGACCUCCCGGGACCUCCCUGUGCCACCAGGUUGCCAAAGGAGGGGUGAACCAGCCCAGGUUAGAAAUGGAGCAGGUCAAAGCUGCUGUGCUGAUCAGUAGUGGGAUCGUGCCUGUGAAUAGCCACUGCUCUCCUGCCUAGGCAACAUAGUGAGACCCCAUCU
ensembl:misc_RNA Metazoa_SRP Metazoan signal recognition particle RNA